GACCAUUCUUCUCGAUCCGAUCUUUCAAGGGCUGGCGAUUUCGCUGCUGUUUGGUCUAGCGUCGUCGACGCUCCUGACGGCCCUCGUCAUUCCGGCAAUUUACAUCGCGCUACGUGAACCCUCACCGCAGCCAUCAUCCAGCAAGUAAGGAAGUCUCAAAUGGAAAAGAACUAUUCCGAACUCACCAAGCGCAUUUCCGCCGACUUGAGGAAAUUGCGCAAGGGUAUACCCGAUACCAUGCA
rnacentral:misc_RNA from 1 species